CAGCGUGGAUUAGGCAUGCAAGCGAACGGGAUCGCCUGGAUAGCAAUAUUCGGGCGUGAGAGUGGCGGAUUGGGAGGAGCACGUGAGCAACCUGCCCUGGAGAUGUGGAAAACCUCUGGAAACGGAGGCUAAUACAGAAUGUGGCGCCCAUGGCAUCAUGGGAGCGCCGAAGGGGGCCGCAAGGCUCUCGCUCCGGGAUGGGCUCGCGCACCAUCAGCUAGUUGGCGGGGUAACGGCCCACCAAGGCCUACGGUUAGCUGGUCUGAGAGGAUGACCAGCCCCACUGGGACUGAGAUACUGCCCAGACUCCUACGGGAGGCUGCAGUCGAGGAUCAUUCGCAAUGGACGGAAGUCUGACGAUGCGACGCUGCGUGGAGGAAUGAAGGCCUUCGGGUCGUAAACUCCUGUCAUGAGGGAAGAGGCGAGGGAAGCUAAUACCUUCUUUAGUUGACUGUACCUCAAGAGGAAGCGACGGCUAACUCUGUGCCAGCCGCGGC
rnacentral:rRNA from 1 species